CGGACGGGUGAGUAACGCGUGGAUAACCUGCCCCAUACCGGGGGAUAACAGCCGGAAACGGCUGCUAAUACCGCAUAAGCGCACGGGAAUGCAUGUUUCUGUGUGAAAAACUCCGGUGGUAUGGGAUGGAUCCGCGUCUGAUUAGCUGGUUGGCGGGGUAGAGGCCCACCAAGGCGACGAUCAGUAGCCGACCUGAGAGGGUGGCCGGCCACAUUGGGACUGAGACACGGCCCAGACUCCUACGGGAGGCAGCAG
rnacentral:rRNA from 1 species